CCUACGGGAGGCAGCAGUGGGGAAUAUUGCACAAUGGGGGAAACCCUGAUGCAGCAACGCCGCGUGAGUGAGGAAGUAUUUCGGUUUGUAAACCUCUAUCAGCAGGGACUAGAAAAGAAGGUACCUGAGAAAGAAGCGCCGGCUAACUACGCGCCAGCAGCCGCGGUAAUACGUAGGGGGCAAACGUUAUCCGGAUUUACUGGGUGUAAAGGGAGCGUAGACGGAAAGGCAAGUCAGAAGUGAAAACCCAAGGCUCAAACAUUCAGACUAUUAGCUAAAAUGUUAAGCUCGAGACCGUUAGGGGCAACUGGAAUUUCUAGUGUAGGAGUGAAAUCCGUAGAUAUUAGAAGGAACACCAACAGCGUAGGCAGGUUGCUGGGACGGUUCUGACACUAAGGCACGAAAGCGUAGGGAGCAAACGGGAUUAGAUACCCCUGUAGUC
rnacentral:rRNA from 1 species